ACGAACUAGAACGCGUUUAUAUGCUGAAGAGAAAUUAAAUAAACGCCUAGCAGUCGUUUACUGCUUUGGUCAUAGCAGCCCAAGGGCAGGUGUAAAAAUGGAGUGUCGUACAUUAUUCAUCGGACAUUGGUUUUGAUCUAUUGCUACGUUCCUGAAAUCGUUUACUCACGAGCAGCGCUUCACAGGAAGGACGGAUCAUCCACAGAUGGCCAAUUUUUGGUUCCUGCUGAGGUGUUUUCACAAAGUACCUGUGUAGUAUUAAAAUAACGCAUCAGUACGGAACAGUGGCAGAGGCGAAUUGUUGGUUUAAACGUAAGAUAAUGGCGGAAAUCACUCACGCUUUCAUACUCAAGUUGUGCCGGAUAGAGUUUUGCCAUGAUUUAAUAGCAAACUUCCGAUAGUAUGGAUAGUUUUCCAUAAUAAACGAGUAUAUUUUGCAAAGCGGCAACAUUUUCUGUGGUGAUUCGUGAAUGGCUUGCACGAUAAGCUGCGAAUAGCUGUACGGUGGUCUUUCGCUACUGACUGGGCGCUUCUCCGUUUCAUCAGCUGGUAACGAAGAAACUAUCUGAAACCGAAAAGAGAUGCAAGAGAGAAAAACAUUUUCAUUCCAACUAGUUGCGAACAGUGUUAACCGUGUGUAUUACUCACCUUUAUACUAUUGAGGUUUGCAGUGCCGAAGUCAUAUAUAUCGCUUGAAAGAAAGUGCUGCAUGUUGUCCACAUCGGUCACAGGAAGGGCGGGACUUUCGUUUAUCAAACUUUUAAAAUGAAUUACUGUGUCUGUGCUUGGAAAGCGAAUGAUGCAACUGUGAAAUCAAUUCGUACAGGUAUCAUAAACACAGCAACGUAGAACACAAUACACAAUGUGGGAAAUCUUACUGUUGCGGCAGUAUGUACGGUUGGUCCCGUUUUCUGCAAAACGUUUCGUCAAUCACUAUUCCAUUCUUGCUCAGGCACAGUAGCGUAAAAUUUCCAUCCGAAUCGUACUUGAGGCUGAAGUGUUUGCGUGAAAUGCGUGUGUUGGAACCGGCAGGAAAUCCAACCGACUUUGCCGAACUGAUUGUCCGACCAACUUUGGUUGUCUUGUCGUUCAGCAGCAUCACAUAAUCGACACUGGUUAGUUGUGCGAUCAAGCCGGGGUAAAAGGCUUGAUAUGAGCUUACCACUGAUCGUAAAUUGUUGUUCGACGAUUGGCAAAUCGACAAACAAUCGCAGCUCAUUAUUAGUUCUAAAAUAAGCAAUAAGAAUAAAAUAAUUACGAAACCAUCCUAAAACAUCAGACAACUAUGGAUACAAUUCGCCGGACGAAGUACUGCUGCGACUCGCAUCUCCUAAAAGUUUAAUUAAGCUUUCCGAUUAGGUGACGGUUCGCACAUUUUUGCUGCAUGGAUCUUUAUGCGUACUAUAUAAGAUCCUUUACACGAUAUCACCUAGGAAGGCAUCUCGCUGACUGAUGUACAAUCGAUCAGCGAACUACAAACAACAGCGUGAGCUCGACUCCAAAGCUGGAACAAAUUCCGUUUUAAAGUAUCGAAAGAAUAGCUGAUCGAAUCAAAGCCUCGUUCUGGACAUACGACCAUUCAGCAGCUUCCUCGAAGGUCACCUUUGCAAUAAAGCUCAGCUGGGAAACAUAAUGUUAGUAAUUGACGACGGUCUCGAGGUGAUUUUGGAAGAAUUUUGCUACAUUGGCACGAUCGUUACUCCAGACGACAGCCUAAGCGGCGUUGGUCCAAGGAAUCAAGCCUGCAAUGGGCUUUACAAAAUCCUGCGAUCAAGAAGACUCUAGCAACACAGAAAAUGCACCGCCUUAUCGCACCUUGGAUGCGUCUGGAGCGUGGAGCAGAAGAUUGAACCGGGAGUUGUAGAGGAUGGAUGGCGAGGUUGUUGGUAGCAUCAAAUGAAGCGUCUAACAUGUCGGAAAAUACCUUUGUUAUCUGCUACUUUUCAAUUCCUCCUGUAUUGGACGUAUCCCUGUACUUCCUUCACAGUAAUUCACUGAAAUAAGACGGAGCGGUCAACACUAUCAACUGGGCAAACGGGUCAAUUCACCAGCAGCUGCUGCACUUACCUCAAAAUACUUUGGCGCAGCCUACUACAUAGCUGAGCCACAAAGCACAAAACGUGUGUGCAGUACACCAAGCAGCAGCAGCCGUCAGUCGGCGCGUUCUGUUUGAUUUUGACAGUUCGGUAAAAUCGCCUACUUUGUGCGUACCGUCUUUUGGCGCGCGUUUGCUUUCGACGAACGUGGUGCUGAAGUCGGACGGACUCCUAGUUUAGUCCUGUGCGGUAUAUACCAUUUUGCCUGUUCAUAGUGUGUGCCACAAAGACCGGAUAGAAGGAUUCCCAGCACCAAACGCAGCCACUUUCUCAACCAGGAGCAGGCGACCCAGCAGCCAGCCAGUAAGCCUUCAACCGGUGCUGGAGCAACUGUUCUCAGACGCAACGCAAGGGUGUCAGUGUUUUGGGAUGAAAUAUAUUUUUUUGUAACAAAUUUA